rnacentral:ncRNA from 1 species
CACGAUAAAGGCAAACCCUGAGCGAUCAGGGGACGCAAAGUAACAGGGUCUUCUGUAGGGGCGUAUUGCAAUACGCCCCUGCCUCUGAUAGAAAGACAGCCUUACUGCCGAAG